CCCUUAGAUGUUCUGGGCCGCACGCGUGCUACACUGAGUAAAUCAAUGGGUAAGGGAACACGAAAGUGCAACCUAAUCUUCAAAUUUGCUCGUGAUGGGGAUCGACGGUUGCAAUUUUCCGUCGUGAACGAGGAAUACCUUGUAGGCGCGUGUCAUCAUCACGCGCCGAAUACGUCCCUGUCCUUUGUACACACCGCCCGUCGCUCCUACCGAUUGAGUGAUCCGGUGAGGCUCUGGGACCUGGACGGAAAGAGCGUUUCGCUUGUUCUGUUUGGGAAACUUGGUCGAACCUUAUCAUUUAGAGGAAGGAGUAGUCGUAACA
rnacentral:rRNA from 1 species